AAACGAGGUUACAGAGUAGACUGGACAUAAGCAACACACUUCAGGUGUCACUGUCUCCCAUCGCCCCCAGAUGAGACUGUUUGGAUGCAGGAAAACAAGCUCAGGGCUCCCACUGAUUCUGUGUUACAGGGAGUUGUAUAAUUAUUCCAUUACAUAUUACAUUGCAGUAAUAAUAGAAAUAAAGUGUACAGUAAAUGUAAUGCACUUCAGUCAUCCUCAAACCAUCCCCCAUACCCCCUCCCCCAUCCGUGGAAAAAUUAUCUUCGAUGAAACCAGUCCAUGGUGCCAAAAAGGUUGGGGACUGCUGUGAUAAUGGAUCCACAAUAGCCCAUAAGUUUACAAAAAUAAGUUUCAUUUAUUCAUGUAUAUGUUUUGAUUAUGUAUAAAAUUAGCAGGAUGUAUAUUCAAGCUUAAUUUUGCAUUUAUUUCUCUAUUGUAGAUUUUGAGCAGGAUUAAAAAUACAUAACAAUAUUGUUUCACUUACUAUGGCUAUAUAACAAAUUACCCUAAAAUUUAGUGUCAUACAACAACAAUGUAGAUUGUUCACAGACUUUGUGGGUCUGGAAUUCUGACAGGGCAUAGUCUGGAUGUCGUGUUUCUGUUUCAGAGUGACUGGUGCUUCACCUGGAAGACUUGAGCAGCUAGGGACUGACACAGCUGGGGCUCCUUGGGCAUUUCUCUCUCUCUGUGACUAACCUCCAUGAGGUCUCUCCAGUAGGGUGUUUCAGGGUAUCUGGACCUUUUACAUAUUGGUUCAGGACUUCCAAGACACAUGUCCUGGGAGAGAGUGCCAGGUGGACUCUGUAUCGCCUUUUAUUAUCUUUGACAUUACAUAGCAUCACGUCCACCUGUGCUAUGGUUGAGCCAGUUAUUCAAUGUGAGGGAACUCUGACCCUUGCCCAGGUGCAAGGUGAGGGGACACAGAUCCCUACCUCUCAGUGGAAGAAUGUCAGGGUCACAUAAGAAGAACACAUGGGAUAGGGCCAUCAUUGGAAAAUAGUUUCCUACAAACAUAGAAAAAACAUGUUGAAUUUAAACUUAAGAAUUUUUUUGUAUCAACGUAUAUGUAGUUCAUUAACUAAAAAUCAAUUUUCUUUUCUUUUACAUGGAAAUGAUCUUCAUUGGUUAGCAUGUGCCUGAUACGUGGCUUGCAGAAAAUCUGUUCCAACCAUGAGCAAAGGGACAGUUGAAGGAAACCUUGUAUCCUUAACUAGAAUCCUGCCAUGUUCAAAGUAGAGGAUAUCUUUAAAUAUCCUCAAGAGAAGCAACCUCGUCAACAAAGAGGAAGAAAACAGUGGUGACAGCCCUGUACUGUGUCAGAAAUUUUCCAUUUUUCUUGGGUGCUUUUUAUAUAUGCGAAAGAGACUGAGAGAAAUUAGCAGUAUGAUACGGACAGUAGAAACUCCAACUGAAAAGAGAGGGAUUGUUUUGGAAGAUGAAAGUGAAUCACCUGCGAAAAGAAUUUGCCCGGAAAAUUGUUCUGCCUUAUUACGCCGUCUCCAAGAUGUAGCUAAUGACCGAGGUUCCCACUGAGAUGCCGGAGCCCCCACCUACAUGUAUGAGUUUCAGUAUCGCCCAAGCUUCUCAUCAGACAUGAAACCCAAGACGGUGAGAGGGGACCACGGGGAUGAGAUCUUCUCUGUCUUGGGAGCCCCAUUUUUAAAAGAGGGUGCUUCAGAUGAGGAGAUCAAACUUAGCAAGAUGGUGAUGAAAUUCUGGGCCAGCUUUGCUCGGAAUGGGAACCCCAAUGGGGAGGGACUGCCCCAUUGGCCAGCGUACGACCAGAAGGAAGGGUACCUGCAGAUUGAUGUCCCCACGCAGGCAGCCCAGAAGCUUGAAGGACAAGGAAGUGUCUUUCUGGACCAAGCUCCUGGGCACGGAGGCUGCCAAGAAGCCACCACAGCCAGAACGCACUGAGCUGUGAACGGGAGGCCCCGCCAGCCUCUGGAGCCUGGAGGAGCCAAGACAGGGCUCUUCUACAGCAGGUGAUCGUGGGUCAGACAGCAUCGCAUUGUGGGGCUGGAGAAUUGUCCGCUGGGGGUGGACAGAGGCCAGAAAGAUGCAAUUUUUGCGCUUGUGACCUCAAUCGUGGGAAUAAAUGUUCUUUUGGAGGCCAAA